CGGCGGACGGGUGAGUAACGCGUGGGCAACCUGCCUUACACAGGGGGAUAACAGUUAGAAAUGACUGCUAAUACCGCAUAAGACCGCAGUACCGCAUGGUACAGCGGUAAAAACUCCGGUGGUGUAAGAUGGGCCCGCGUCUGAUUAGGUAGUUGGCGGGGUAACGGCCCACCAAGCCGACGAUCAGUAGCCGACCUGAGAGGGUGACCGGCCACAUUGGGACUGAGACACGGCCCAGACUCCUACGGAAGGCAGCAG
rnacentral:rRNA from 1 species